rnacentral:tRNA from 1 species
GCCCAGGUGGCGGAAUUGGUAGACGCGCUAGCUUCAGGUGCUAGUGACCCAAAAGGUCGUGGAAGUUCGAGUCUUCUCCUGGGCACCA